rnacentral:rRNA from 1 species
UGUAGGUGAACCUGCGGAAGGAUCAUUACCGAGUGCGGGCCCUCUGGGUCCAACCUCCCAUCCGUGUCUAUCUGUACCCUGUUGCUUCGGCGUGGCCACGGCCCGCCGGAGACUAACAUUUGAACGCUGUCUGAAGUUUGCAGUCUGAGUUUUUAGUUAAACAAUCGUUAAAACUUUCAACAACGGAUCUCUUGGUUCCGGCAUCGAUGAAGAACGCAGCGAAAUGCGAUAAUUAAUGUGAAUUGCAGAAUUCAGUGAAUCAUCGAGUCUUUGAACGCACAUUGCGCCCCCUGGUAUUCCGGGGGGCAUGCCUGUCCGAGCGUCAUUGCUGCCCUCAAGCACGGCUUGUGUGUUGGGCUUCCGUCCCUGGCAACGGGGACGGGCCCAAAAGGCAGUGGCGGCACCAUGUCUGGUCCUCGAGCGUAUGGGGCUUUGUCACCCGCUCCCGUAGGUCCAGCUGGCAGCUAGCCUCGCAACCAAUCUUUUUAACCAGGUUGACCUCGGAUCAGGUAGGGAUACCCGCUGAACUUAAGCAUAUCAAUAAGCGGAGGA